CUAAAGUGUCGUGUUUUGGUGUUGGGGUUUGAGCUAAUUUGUUUGUUCUACAACAACCGCCAAAGUUUUUCCAGUCUUCAUAAAAUGUAUUUGAUCAUUUGAACCUUAUGUGGAGGAAUAUUACAGUAUUCUUCUACCUGGAAAAACAUUAUAGGUACAGUAAGAAAUAUGUAGUGGUGGAAAGUGCCUCAGUAGUUGGAUAACUUUUUUUUUUAAUCCUUAAAAGGAAUAUCCGUUUUCAGGGUAAUGUUUUGAAAGACGUUUUUUGUGAAAUUUGUAAAAAAGUUCCCGGUGGAAUUGUAGUAUUUUUUCCAUCGUAUAAAUAUGAGUCUUGGGUUUGGGAGCAGGUUAAAACACUGUCUUUUGGUAGGCCGGUGUUUAGGGAACCCCAAGAUUCUGGUUCUGUUGAUUCAGUAUUGGAAUCUUAUGCUUCGGUCAUUAAAAAAUCGGGAAGCAAAGGUGCUCUCUUGUUCAGUGUUGUGGGAGGGAAACUGAGCGAAGGGUUGAAUUUUAGCGACGACUUGGGACGAUGUGUAGUUGUAGUAGGCCUUCCGUAUAGCAAUAUUAAUUCCCCUGAGUUGAAGGAAAAAAUGACUUAUUUAGAUAAAAAUCAUGUAAGUACCUCCUUGGUUUAGAAUAUUCUCAAAACAAAAAGAAAUUUCUUAAAAGUAACAGGAACCAGAAGGAUAUUCUUUUUAGUGGCAUAGCAAGGUCCAAUAGCAGGAAAUUUUUGAAAUGUUCUC